UAUAAUGUUCAUGUCCAACUUUUUAAUCAUCCAUCUUAUUUAAAAAUUUUCAUCAUUAAUAUUUUUAUUGUUAUUAGAUGAUAAAAUAUGAAUAAUACUUUAUAUGUAAUUAUUUUUAAAAUUUUUUUUAUAAAUUUAAUAUGAACGGUUAAACGUUGAAUACGAAACCCACAACUGCAUUUAAA
rnacentral:pre_miRNA from 1 species